UUCUGAUUCAUUUUCUGCAGGUGAAGGAAACCCACCUAAAGUUGAGACCUUCUAUGAGCUUGUUCAAAGAAAUUCAACCCUUGGAAAACUGGGAAGUGAAUGUUUAACGACAUACAAAACUUUUGUUACUGGCACCCCCCAGCCAUUGUAUGACGAGAAAAGAUGCAACCAAUCACGCUGGGGCCUUGUCUAGACCCUCUAUUACAAGACCCUGUAUAUUAAUCACAGCAGAAUGUGCGCUAAAAUAUGAUGCGCAGCCAUAACUUCUGUCUAUUAUAUAACCUUUAGUUAUAAUGCUUAACAACAGCUCCUCUUUUUUACACUAACAUAAUGCUUAGGUUAUAUUAUUUGGGUUUUCAGUAAACAGAUUUUCCUUGCACGCAUUUCUAUAGUAAUAGCGACUGCGUCGUCUGUUUUCCAUGUUUUACAAUCUGAUGUAAUUUUUGUUGGUACGCUAGUGGACAAAUGCCUGUGACGUAAAGUGAGGAGUAUUAAAGUGUCCUUCUUUAGCAGAAAUAAAAUAGUUGCUGCAAGUUA